UAGGGAAUAUUGCACAAUGGGCGAAAGCCUGAUGCAGCCAUGCCGCGUGGAGGAUGAAGGCCUUCGGGUCGUAAACUCCUUUUCUGAGAGACGAACCGCCGACGGAAGAAAUGCCGUCGGUCUGACGGUACCUCAGGAAUAAGCAACGGCUAACUCCGUGCCAGCAGCCGCGGUAAUACGGAGGUUGCGAGCGUUGUUCGGAAUAACUGGGCGUAAAGGGAGCGCAGGCGGUUCAGUAAGUCUAAAGUGAAAUCCCGGGGCUUAACCUCGGACGUGCUGUGGAUACUGCUGGACUUGAGUACGUGAGAGGAAAGCGGAAUUCCAGGUGUAGCGGUGAAAUGCGUAGAUAUCUGGAGGAACACCAGUGGCGAAAGCGGCUUUCUGGCACGAUACUGACGCUGAGGCUCGAAAGCGUGGGGAGCGAACG
rnacentral:rRNA from 1 species